AUUGAACGCUGGCGGCAUGCCUUACACAUGCAAGUCGAACGGCAGCACGGGUGCUUGCCCCUGGUGGCGAGUGGCGAACGGGUGAGUAAUACAUCGGAACAUGUCCUGUAGUGGGGGAUAGCCCGGCGAAAGCCGGAUUAAUACCGCAUACGAUCUACGGAUGAAAGCGGGGGACCUUCGGGCCUCGCGCUAUAGGGUUGGCCGAUGGCUGAUUAGCUAGUUGGUGGGGUAAAGGCCUACCAAGGCGACGAUCAGUAGCUGGUCUGAGAGGACGACCAGCCACACUGGGACUGAGACACGGCCCAGGCUCCUACGGGAGGCAGCAGUGGGGAAUUUUGGACAAUGGGCGAAAGCCUGAUCCAGCAAUGCCGCGUGUGUGAAGAAGGCCUUCGGGUUGUAAAGCACUUUUGUCCGGAAAGAAAUCCUUGGCCCUAAUACGGUCGGGGGAUGACGGUACCGGAAGAAUAAGCACCGGCUAACUACGUG
rnacentral:rRNA from 1 species